rnacentral:rRNA from 1 species
GUGGGGGAUAUUGCGCAAUGGGCGAAAGCCUGACGCAGCGACGCCGCGUGGGUGAUGAAGGCCUUCGGGUCGUAAAGCCCUGUCGAGGGGGACGAAACGGUGCCGACCUAACACGUCGGUGCCCUGACGGUACCCCUAAAGGAAGCACCGGCUAACUCCGUGCCAGCAGCCGCGGUAAUACGGAGGGUGCAAGCGUUGUUCGGAAUCACUGGGCGUAAAGCGCGUGUAGGCGGUCCGCUAAGUCUGAUGUGAAAGCCCGGGGCUCACCCCCGGAAGGGCAUUGGAUACUGGUGGACUCGAGUCCCGGAGAGGAGGGUGGAAUUCCUGGUGUAGCGGUGAAAUGCGUAGAUAUCAGGAGGAACACCGGUGGCGAAGGCGGCCCUCUGGACGGUGACUGACGCUGAGACGCGAAAGCGUGGGGAGCAAACAGGAUUAGAAACCCGGGUAGUCC